CUGGGCUACAAAAUUAAUAAAAGGAAUGGAACAUAUCAGCUAUGAAGAAAGGUUAACAAAUUUAAACCUAUUUAGUUUAGAAAAACGUCGCCUGAGAGGGGAUAUGAUAACAUUAUACAAAUAUAUUCAGGGCCAAUACAAACCAUUGUGUGGAAAUCUAUUCACAAACCGGACUUUACAUAGGACAUGAGGCCAUGCGUUUAGACUGGAAGAAAGAAGAUUUCGUCUAAGGCAAAGGAAAGUUUUUUUUACUGUAAGAACAAUCAAGAAGUGGAAUUCUCUGCCUGAAGAAGUGGUUUUAUCAGAGUCCAUACAGAUGUUCAAAC